rnacentral:tRNA from 1 species
GCGAGGGUGGCUGAGUCAGGCCAAAGGCGGCGGGCUUAAGACCCGCUUGCGAAGGCAUCCGUGGGUUCGAAUCCCUCCCCUCGCA